UACGUAGGGUGCAAGCGUUAAUCGGAAUUACUGGGCGUAAAGCGUGCGCAGGCGGUUUUGUAAGUCUGACGUGAAAUCCCCGGGCUCAACCUGGGAAUUGCGUUGGAGACUGCAAGGCUAGAAUCUGGCAAAGGGGGGUAGAAUUCCACGUGUAGCAGUGAAAUGCGUAGAGAUGUGGAGGAACACCGAUGGCGAAGGCAGCCCCCUGGGUCAAGAUUGACGCUCAUGCACGAAAGCGUGGGGAGCAAACAGG
rnacentral:rRNA from 1 species